rnacentral:rRNA from 1 species
UGUAAUAGUAAUUCUUACCUGGUUUUCCACUGAAGAUAAGCAGGGUUGAGCCUGGCCAGUACCAGGAUGGUAGACCUCUUGGGGGAAGCUAACGUUGCUGCUGGAA